rnacentral:lncRNA from 1 species
UUUUAUCAAAUCCAUAGUGUACAACAUUUCCUUCGUCAAAAUAAUCUGUACAGAAUGUGUAGAAUGCUUUCUCAAACUAUGAAUUAUGAAUUACAGAAUUGGCUCAGAUUUGUCCAGUCAUAACCAAAAUCUCAUAAUUUUGAAUUACAGAAUUAUAGCAUAAUAAUUUUUUAUAACAGACAAAUACAUCUCUGAUUUUUAUAAGACACCGCAACCUCGUGGGUACCUAACCAAUUAGCACUCCAUUUCUGAAACUGAAACAUACAAACAUCAACUACCAGAGAUUAGAUCUGUGAUGGACGAAACAGCUAUAGGAAACUCUGUUACUGCUACAAGGCUUUAGUUUCAUAAAAGAAUACACUAUAGCAAUACAAGUACUUGGAAACAGCCAAAACAGGCUGUUCAGAGUGAAAUUUACACAGUAAUGCUUUGUAGCAUUCGUAGACUCUCCGUCUCCAGUAUAUCACACAUUAGGGCCUUGUUUAGUUCCCAAAAAAUUUUGCAAAAUUUUUCAGAUUCCCCGUCACAUCAAAUCUUUAGACGCAUGCAUGAAGUAUUAAAUAUAGACGAAAAUAAAAACUAAUUGCACAGUUUGGUCGGAAUUGACAGUACAUAAUUGGAUAAUAUUUGUCAAAUACAAACGAAAGAGGUACUAUUCAUAUUUUGCCAAAUUUUUUGGAACUAAACAAGACCUCACUUCCCUUGCUCCCCACAUUCUCACUCUGAACACAAACUAGACCUGCUACAUCAGAUAUGUUUCUUGUUCAACUACAGAAACAAACAAAUGUUCACAAUUAUUUUUUUUAAAAAAUAAAUCUUUUAAAACAUUUAUGCUGUUUGAUGGAUCAUUUCAUCCAAGGAACAGUCUCCCACUUUAGGAGCAGUAAAAGAUCCCUCAAACACAGGCAAACCUCACCCACUCAGAUUCAUUUAAAUUUUAAGAUGAAAAUACAACUAUCUAAAACUAGUCAAACUGCAAGCAGGAGUGCAAACCAAGAAUCUUCAAUGUUCAAUAUUGAUGCAGCUAUUCCAAGAUCCAACAGCAAAUUUUAACUGACCAGGUAACAUAUUUGUUUAUGCGGUGCCACACCACGUUUUCAUGCAAUCUGAAAUGCCAGGCUACACUAUGUCAACAUGGAUUUGUUGUCACCAUGAUCCCGGUCACAAGUUGAAAACUUGAAAUCACUGGAAAAGGCAGGGUAGCAUGAAGGAAAGAUAAUCAUAACGAAUAUGACGGAACAAAAUACUUGUCAAAGUACUCGCAUGUCUCAGAUUUCCCCCCUCUCAUUGAUUUAAGGAGGAUCAUUCAUUCAAAUGUACACUACAAUAUAUAUAGUACACCACCACUACAGCAGCAAUGACAACAAUUAGUUGCAAACUGGUUAUUUCUUACAAACCCUAAACCCAAAGGUAGUAAUUGCAUGGAGUCAGACAAAUGCAACAAAGAAAUUAAGUCAGCAUGAAGCAACAAUAUAUAUUCAACUAAAAUGUGAAGGAAAUCACAUAAAGUCAGCAUUAUCGUUUUGUUUUCUUUUGGGGUGUGUAUGGGUGGGUGGGUAAGGGGAAGGCUCAGCUUUGCCUUUGCUCAUUCAUCUUACUGUAUCCCCAUCAUCUCUUAUCACCAGAUCAACUUGUUCUGACAAGCGGAGCUGCCGUAGUUAUCACCCAUGAAGAAUGGCAUGACCAUGCAAGGACAAUACCAUUAUCAUAAGAACAUAAUUGAAGAGGUUUCCAAGAGAGGAAGGCAAGGACUCCAGUUUCGUACCCAUAGCAGUCUUGAUUGCUCAAAGGCACAUAUGUCAGCCUUCGUUAUUGAUCAUUGCCUCAGUGGAAUUUUCCAUAUUCGUAAUUGAGGGGCACUCAGGUAGGAACUUAUAAUAUGGAACUGACUUGGCACAUUUGCCCUACUAACAUUAUCUCAAGUUAAAAUCCAGCAGCAAAGCAAGUGAAGAACACAGCCCUAUAUCAGGGUACAGCAUCAACAGGACAUGCAAAAUAGCACAAAAGAACGAGUAGAUAAGAGCACAAGAGUACAAAGCAGAAUAAAACUUUAACCAAUUCAAAGAGCAUAUUAGCUGCAACAGCGGCCAAACCAGCCAUCAUAAGCCGGAUUAUUUAUUUUAUUUAUUUAUUUUGUGGGUGGUUGUGGGGGGGGGGGGGGGGGGGGCAGGACAAGAAAAGUCACAUGAGUAGCUCAGAUUUCAGAUUUAAACAUUAUCAGGAUUGCAACUGCAAUUUGUAGUGGAAGCACAAUGUAAUCUCCCUUGCUCUCUGUCUCUCUUUCAUGGCCACAUAACUGGUUACUUGUUGCUACAACUGCCCAAAAAGGAUGCUUGUCCAGGUGCAUAGACAGAAUUGCAUUUUCUCUGGAUAAAGUAGCAAGGUACAAGCCAUCCUAGUUAAGCAACAAGCAGAAUAGAAUAUCCCAGGGAUUAGCUCUGAGAAUGCUACAGAGCAGAAGCUCUCUAAUGGAAAGUUCAGUCAUCAUAGCACUCAAGAGUAGUACAAAUAAAGAAGUCAUAAAGCCUCUGAUAUAAACCAGUCUUUUUGUAUAUAUAAACACCAGAAUGCCUCUAAGGACAAAUUAGGAACCACUUCUAAGUAUUGGUGGAAGAAUGAAAGUAGUAAAAUAAGAGUGUGCAAAAGAAAUCAAAUCAUUCUUUAGAACAAAAUGUGCAAUUCUUCCACUUAAGUUUCAGCAUCCCAACCAAAAACACGAAUGUAUGCAUUCAAAUCUACCCAUGUCAAGAAUCUUAGGCCCUGUUUGGAUCCUUCCAGUUUUUAAGAAUCUGGUUUUUGAAAACUGAUAGGAUCCAAACAGGCUAGUUUUUGCCUACUUUCUUGUGUCAGUUUUUGCCAGAUUCUUAAAAGCCAAGAAGCUGUUAUACCCAGCUUUUGCCAGUUUCUUGUGACCCUGUGAGCAAUAAAUGAAGUCAGAUUAUUAAAAACUUGGGGAUCCAAACACCCUCCAUCAGUUUUUGUUCAGAAUCCAUAUUUUAGGAACUAGAGACAAAACUAGUUUUUAAGAAUCUGAAACUCAUACAAACAGGCCCUUAUAUGACAUGAAAUCAAAGCUGACAAACUCGUCCCAUCAGUACCAUGAUCCUGGUCCCAAGUUGAAAUCACUGAAAAAGGUAGAAUACAUUAAGAAAAUAGAAUCAUAAACGAAAGUAUAUGAUGAAACAGGAACAGCUCAGAUUUGCCCCAGUAUCAACACAAUACUCACAGAAGAAAUAUAUGUACUCCUUCCAUCUCUCUCUAAACCCUAAGGCCUUGUUUGGAUGUUGUCGUAUUCACUUCAAUCCAUGUGUGUUGGUGUGGAUUGGGGUGGAAUUUAGUUCAAAUUUCACUCCAAUCCACCUCAACACAUGUGGAUUGAUGUGAAUCCGACUACAUCCAAACAAGGCCUAAACCGUAAACCCAAACCCCUGCCCCACUAGUUGCAAACUGGUUGCUUGUGUAUGGUACAAGCCAUCCAAGUUUAGCAGCACAUUGAGCAAAAUACCAAAGGUGACAAUUCAGGAUGCUAAAAAAGUAAUAGCCCUAUGGGGCUGGGGCAUUUGACAUCACAGCCUUUGAAGAACAGUUCCAAACAAGAAAGCAAGAUCAACAGACGAGCGACAACAAAAUAUCUGAAAAAUGAAGGAAUGCAUAGGAACUACCAAAAUGGAUCAAUUCUGCACCCUGCAUCUGAUAUAAAGCACAAAAUCUUUUUGUAUAUGUAAACACCACAAAAAAGUGAGACAUGUACUACAUGUGUGCAAAAAGAAUGGUGGGAGAGGAGUCGAGGAUGUAGUUUAGGGCCUGUUUGGAACACAGAAUUCCCCAUAUUUUUUUCUCGAACAUGCAGGAGACCUGUGUAUCAUUAUAUUAAGAAGAAAAAGGGGAAUGAACCCUUACAAACCCCAUAUAUCAGCAAAUCAAAAGGCAAAUUAGCUGCAACAGCGGCAAAACAAACCGUGAUAAACCUCCAUGGUUUUAUGGUGGUGGUUAGAAGGGGGGGUGUUGAGUGGCUCAGAUUUCAGAUUUAAACAUUAUCAGGAUAGCAACUGCAAUUUGUAGUGGAAGCACAAUGUAAUCUCUCUUGAUCUCUCUCUCUCUUUCAUGGCCACAUAACUGGUUGCUUGUUGCUACAACCGCCCAAAAAGGGUGCUCGUCCAGGUGCAUAGAUAGAAUUGCAUUUUUUAGGACGGAGGUAGCAAGGUACAAGCCAUCCUAGGUAAGCAGCAAGCAGAAUAGAAUAUCCCACGGAUCAGCUCCAGAAAUGCUACAUUGCAGAAGCUCCCUAACUGGAAAGUUCAAUCAUCAUAGCCACUCAAGAGUAGUACAAAAAAAAACUCAUAAGGCAUCUGAUAUAACAGGAACAGCUCAGAUUUGCCCCAGUAUCAACAGCGGCGAGACCAAAGUAAAAUGUCCCAGAUGCAACUGCAGGGGAAGGAGAUCACCAUUGAAGCACAUUAGGAGAAGUAUUCAUGUUCCAUACAUCCAUCCGUAGGGAAGAUAUGCGGACGAAAGUAUACAACAGAACAGAAAGAGUAAUGUCAAGUUGAAUGGCUCAGAUUUGCCCCAGUAUCAGCACAAUACUCCCAGAAGAAGAAACAUGUACACCCUCCAUCCCUCUCUAAAUGAACUAGGAUUGUUCAUUUGGAUAUAUACACUACUGCUACUACUACUAGACUGCCACAACACUGACAACAAUAAGUUGCAAACUGGUUGCUUGUAUAUGGAACAACCAAACAAGCCAUCCAAGUUUAGCAGCAUAUUGAGCAAAAUACCAAAGGUGACAAUUCAGGAUGCUAAAAAGUAAACGCUCUAUGGGGCUGGGGCAUUUGACAUCACAGCCACUGAAGAAAUGUUCCAAACAAGAAAGAAAGAUCAACAGACAAGCGACAACAAAAUAUAUGAAAACCAAAGGAAUGUGAGGUUUUGGAAACUGUUGGAGGAACCCAGCAAAUGUGCUCCCAACUUUUUUUAGCCACUUGAAAAACUCAUUGAUUUACCAAUUAUUUUUUUGGGAACCAUUGGAGAUGCUCUGAGGUAGCAACUUAUGAGAUGGAACUGACUUGGCAUAGUAGUUCAAAUCCAGCAGGAAGGCGAGUGAAGAACGGCUUUAGAUCAGGGUAUUGGCAUACAGCAUCAGCAGGACAUGUAAAAGAGCACAAAGAACAAGGAGAUAAGAGCGUGCAAGAGUGCAAAUAAAAAACAGAAUAAAAGUUUGAAGCGAUUCAAAGAACAGAUAAAACUGCCAUGGUAGUAGUGUGGUGGUGAUGCGGGGGUGGGAGGCAGGUUUUCAUACGGUAGUACUAGAAUAAAUAGGAGGUAACUUGAGUGGCUCAGAUUUAACCAUUAUCAACAUACCAACUGCAAUUUAUAGUGGAAGCGAGGGAGGGAGGGAGGGGAAGGGGUAGGGAGGCAGGCAAGCAGAGGGUGAUGGAGGGAGAUGGAGAGAGAGGGCAACACAGCAGGCCAAACCCGACUCAGAAGCCGCGUAGGAGUCUCCACACAGUUCCCAUUCACUGCCGCCACCGAUGCCAAGCAAUGUAGCAGUGGCAAGGCGGCAAUGUAGGGAUUGGCACCUAAAGCGACUGCCGUUCUGGAGAACGGACCACACAACACCAAUUCGAUCUAAGCUGGCUGUAAGCUUGUACAGCGCACUUCUCCACUCCUCUCUCCACCUCAGCAUUCAGCCUGCUUACAGCCUCUUAUAUAUACUUGCUCUUAUGGCCACAGAACUGGUUACUUGUCGCUACCACUGCCCCAAAAGGAAUGCUUGUCCAGAUGCAUAGACAGAAUUGCAUUCUUGUUGGUACAGAAGUAGUAAUGUACAAGCCAUCCGAGUUAAGCAACACAGAGACUUAAUCACAUUUCUUCUUUGGACAGAGGUAGUAAACAAUCCCGCCUAGUUAAGGAGCAAAUGUAAUAAAAUAUCCCAGGUGCCAGCUGCUGAAGACAUAGCAGUUUGGCAAACAGGCCUCAUGUUUUACAAGAAAAUCAUGUUUUCUUCCCUUUCUGAGAAGGGGGAUCAGCUUCGCCUUUGCAAAUGUAAUAAAAUAUCCCAAAUAUGUAGGUUACACAAGAAAAUUCGAAGCGACAACAUAUUCAACAACAACAACAACAACCAAAAAAACAAAAUCAUGUUUUCUUCCCUUUUCUGAGAGGGGGGAUCAGCUUCGCCUUUGCUCAGUCAUUUAACCGUAUCCCCAUCAUCUCUUAUCACCAGAUCAACUUGUCCUGAUACGAUAAGUGGAGCUGUCCUGGUUAUCACACAUGGAAUGGCAUGACCAUCCAAGGACGAAGCCACUAUCAUAGAACAUAAUUGAAAAGGUUUCUAAGAGAGGAAAGGGAGGAUUCCAGUUUGGUACCCAUAGCAGCCUUGGUUGCUCAAAGGCGCUUAUGUCAGCCAUGGUCGUUGAUCAUUGCCCCACAUUGGAAUUUAUGCCUUCCGUUCUUGAAGGGCAUUUACAUAUUAGUCCCACAAACAUUGACCGAGGUCCCAGGAUCAAUCCAGCAGGAAGGCAAGUGAAGAAGAAUACCCUUUCAUCACGGUAGAGCAUCAACAGGACAUGCAAAAGAGCACAAAAAGAACAAGCAGAUACACAGAUGACCGCUACUCCCUAUCAUGGGGCGGUGAUUCUACCGGAAAGGUUACGAAACAAGAUUUUUAGGAUUAUUAUUAUUAUUAUUAUUUUGGGUGACUGCUAGAGACACCCUAAGGUACAACGCAUCCUAGUUAAGCAAUAAGCAGCAAACAGAGAUAGAAUCACAUUCUUUUUUUGGACGGAGGUAGUAACUAGUAAGGCAUGAGCCAUCCCAGUUAAGCAGCAAACAGAAUAAAAUAUGGUAGAGUGCAGAAGCUCUCUAAUGGAAAGUUGAACCAUCAUAACCACUCAAGACUAGUAUGAAACAAAAACAAUCAUAAGGCAUCGCAGCAUAAACCAUACAAAAAGGGCUCAAUAUCACCUUUGCUCAAUCAUAGAAACCAAGCCCACCCUUAUCUUGCUGCACAAUUUAUUCAUCCUAAUGUGAGUGGAACUGUGCUGGUUGUCACACAUCCAAGUGACCAUCCUAGGAGAACCACAAACAAAAAUGGAUGAUUAAAUAGGCUUCCAGACAGGAGAGGAUCAGCUCUAAUUAGAUACUCAAUGGCAUGCAAUUCCAAAUAGGUUGAGCAUCAUCGCCCUUCGUCAGCACUCCAUUUCACAUAUUCGAGCCCAUUUCAAAGUCCAACACGGUCACCCUAUGUAAAUUUCACUUGCACUGGCCACUGGAUACUUUCACCCAAGUCCAAAAACAGGACACAGGGAACUUAAGCUAUUAAGCUAUUUGUAUUCGGAUCUGGUUUAAUUUAGUGUAUACAUGUAUUAUGUCCAAUAACUUUGAUCCAUCCGCAAAUAUCGGGUGUACAUGUGCACACCCAUGUCCUUUUCUGGACGUGCCCCAGCAAGAAGGGAAGAGGGGUGGGCACACCUGGUUGGUGCUCGUUGCCGGCAAAGUGCCUGGUUGUUAAGACCAAGACCUGGAUAUCUGAUAUAUGAUGGCGUGGCCUCCCAGUCAUCACCACAAGAGAGAGAGAGAGGGGGGGGGGGGGGGGGGGCAUGUAGCCGAGCAGUGUGUGUGUGUGCUCUUUACAGCACCACCAACCAAGCAAUCCAAGGCCCUUGUUUAGUUCACCCCAAAAUCCAAAAACUUUUCAAAAUUCUCAAUCACAUCGAAUCUUGUGGCAUAUACAUGGAGCAUUGAAUAUAGAUUAAAAAAAUAACUAAUUGCACAGUUUGCUUGUAAUUUGAGAGACGAAUCUUUUGAGCCUAGUUAGUCCAUGAUUGGACAAUAAUUACCAAAUACAAACAAUACGGUACACUAAACAAGGCCCAAACUGCAAUAGACCCUUUCUUCCUCAAUUCCGACCCCACCCCAGCACCACGGCGUCCGCGACCCUGCACCCCAGCGAGCAACCCCACGGAUGAGGUGGAGAGAGAGGGGGGGGGGGGGGGGGGGGGCAACGGGAGCGCAGCAGGCCAAACCCAACUCGGAAGCCGCGUAGGCGGCAACGCACGGUUCCCAGCCCAUGCCGCCACCGAUGCCAAGCAAUGUAACAGCGGCGAGGCGACACCGUAGGGAUGGGCACCUGAAGCGACGGCCGCUCCGGAGAAUGGACCGCGCACCACCCUCGAUUCGAUCUAGGGUUUGGGUUCAGGGGAUGUGCGAGCAUACACACAUACUACUACAUCCGUCACGGAGAUAAUGCAAUCUAGCAUUCAAAUCAACGACGACGACGACGACGACGACGGCGAGGACAAGGCAAGGAAGAGUCAGAGAUACAGAGAGCAUGCAUACCAAAACGAUGCAUCCGCAAGCAAAGGCUCGAAAAAGGUCCAUCAAUGGCGGCUCAGAUCCCGCGCCGGCCGACCACGGCCCCGACUAGAACCGCCGCGGACCCCACCCCCACGGUCCCCAACCCCAGCCCCCGCCGCCGCAGCACCGUCACCCGCGCAAGGGUCCCCAAUCCGACUCGGCGCGGCGGGGCGGGGAGCGGGGUGGCCCCGGGGAGACGCGGAUCCAAGGACGGUUGCCGGUCGAGAGCCGGGCCAGCGCCAACCGCGGCGCCCUUCCUCAUCGCCGCUUUUGUUCCAAGGGCUGUUGGUUUCAGUGGUGUGAUCACCGGCCGCCGCGAGUGGGAACAAGCAGCAGGAUGGCAGAUUCUGAGGGAUAGCCCCAGAGCGCUCGCCUCGCAUGCAUCACCGCCGCCGCCGCCGCCGCCGCUGCCCACACGGAGUGGCCUCACACUUAAACUAAUGAGUGAGUGAUAAUCUGGUCGGAGACGGCGAGGUUUUAUGCGGGGUUGGGAGGGGAUGGAGGAGAGGGGAGGGGACGAACUGCGGUGGCG